GAGGAAAAGAAACUAACAAGGAUUCCCCUAGUAACGGCGAGUGAAGCGGGAAGAGCUCAAGCUUAAAAUCUCCGUGCAAGUUUUGCGCGGCGAAUUGUAGUCUAUAGAGGCGUGGUCAGCGUGGGCGCUUGGGGCAAGUUCCUUGGAAGAGGACAGCAUGGAGGGUGAUACUCCCGUUCAUCCCUGAGUGGCUCGUGCGUACGACCCGUGUUCUUUGAGUCGCGUUGUUUGGGAAUGCAGCGCAAAGUAGGUGGUAAAUUCCAUCUAAAGCUAAAUAUUGGUGCGAGACCGAUAGCGAACAAGUACCGUGAGGGAAAGAUGAAAAGAACUUUGAAAAGAGAGUUAAAGAGUACCUGAAACUGCUGAAAGGGAACCGAAUCGUUUCCAGUGUCUAUAAUCCGUGGCAUAUUUCAUUGGCGAGUGUGCGCGUGCGUGUGCUGUGGCAGUGGCUUUUUUGGCUGCGCUCGGUGUGUGUGCUGUGUGUGCUUGCUGGUGCCCUGUGCUGCGGUGGGACGUCAAGGUCAGUUCGUAUGCUGCGGGAAAUGGCUGCCGAGGAGGUAGGGCUUACGCUCCGCGUUUGUCUGUUAUAUCUUGGUGGACGAGUCGUCGCGGUUGGGACUGAGGUGCCUACAACGUGCUUUUGAGUGGGUUUGUGUCUCCGUGUGCGCCGUGUGCGGAUAGCUUGCUAUGCGUGUGUGGUUGUGUGUGGAUUGAUGCGGGCUUUAACUUGUCGCCGUUCGGGACGUUGACGAAAUGGAGCGAUCCGACC
rnacentral:rRNA from 1 species